ensembl:lincRNA
CUUUAAUCCUCGUGCUCUAACCUCUAUUAACAUAAUACUUCAGGUAGCAGAGAUCUUAGGGAAUAAGCAAGAGGGGAAUAUUUUGUUUCUAUUUAGCUUUUAAAUUUUGUUUAUUAUUCAUGGCAUGAGCCUUAACUACCACCCUUAACUAUAGCCACAGCCCUCUCCUCUUUGGUAUCUUAUUCUAAUUGGAAUCCACAGAGAUCAUCAUUCUUUUUUGCUGUACCUAUUAACUGGUUUCAUUUACAACACUGCCCUAUUAGAAUUGUGGAGAUUAUUAACUUGGAUUUUCAAAUCAGAUUUCCUGCAACUCUGCUCAAAGCAACCUUAUUUUACUAGUGGAACAAUCAUGUAUUUUCAGCAAUGGGUCAUAAAUAUUGAAGAGUUAGUUCCUAGCUAAUUUAAAAGAAUAAAGGAUAGAGCAUCCUUCAGAUUUCAUUCUGAUCUAAUUUUGGUUGAGUAAGCUGUUUGCAAAGGUCACAAAUGAAAACAGUCAUAAAGAGCACCAAGAGGCAUAUACACAGGUUUGGCUGUGUGUGUGUUUGUGUGCAUUUUCACGUUUGAAAAAAAAAAAAAUAAGCACAAGGGCAUGAAAACAACCAGAAAGAAUAAGAGGCCUAGCUAAUUUUUCAUAGAACUUUACAGUGAUUGUUGAUAUUCCCAUCAAUCUCCUGAAGCUCUGCAAGCCUUUGAGGAUUUCUGAAUUACUAAAGAAGGAAUAAAUCUCUCUCUGCUUAAUUUUAUGGCAGAAAUUGGACCAGAAUUAAUGGGGCCAGUGCACGGUGGGAAGACUCCAGGUGUCCUCAGCCCUGUGGGCUGUAGCCUGACAGUCUCGAGAACCCUCGGAAAGGAGCCAGCACUUUUGUCUUCCAGAACAUCAUUAUGCACAUUACAUCACUACUGGUUCCUGGCAGCAUCUAGAAAAUCUGAUUAGAAACUUAUGCAGCUCCAUAGUUCUGUUUCAGAUACUCAAGUGGAAUUUCCAGAUGGUUGCCUUCUCUAAGGUAUGAUGCUUCUUUCCAUAAGUAAUCUUUAUCGCCUUUCCUCCUACAUUUAAUAUGUUUAUUACAUACUUGGCCUGCAAAUUGUUUUCUUUUACAUUUUAAAUAUAAUAGCUGAUGAUUUUGAUUUGUGCUUUCACUAAUAAUUGACAGUUGUGAAGGGUGCUUUAUUUCUGUAACUCAAGUGCUGCCACUUUCUUGGUAGAAAUCUGCUUCAAAAGAUCAAUGGGUUAAUUCAUUAGUCAAUGUUAGGUCAGUGCCAAUGAUAAAUCCACUAUAAUUUUUCUCAGUUUUUAUUUAAUUAUGAUGCCACUGCAUCCCAUGAUCCAUCCUUUUUUUGUGUAAAUUGGGUUGAGGGGGAGACAACUAUCGCUACUGUGCCAUGCCAGAAAAUAGGCAUAUCUUUUUCCAUUGACUGAUGCUACUCAUAGCUUUAAAGCCAGCAUAUUUAAUGUUUUCUUGAAUAAUUAAAGGAAGGGAUUUGCUGAACAUGGUAGGUGAUGUUUAUUGUAGUCCUCCAAAGAGCACCUGCCACUGAAAUGAAGGUAGGAAUUGGAAUUAAAUGUAAUUGACCUCACAUUAUGAGGCAGUUUCCCAGCAAUCUUAUGCUCGCAAACCCUGAUUUUUUCAUAGAAAAAUUUCAUAUACCCAUAGUCCACCAUCACAAUAACAGCCAUCUCUGCCAAUAUCACAACUUAUAUCAUUUCAAUUUGUCUGCCAUCACCUUUGGCAUAAUAUAAUAACCACCCACUCAUCACUUUGCAAUCCUGACAUCACUUUAAGUAUUUUUUUG